CCUACGGGAGGCAGCAGUGGGGAAUCUUGGGCAAUGGGCGAAAGCCUGACCCAGCAACGCCGCGUGAAGGAAGGAGGCUUUUGGGUUGUAAACUUCUUUUGACAGGGAAGAGCAGAAGACGGUACGUGCCGCAUAAGCCACGGCUAACUACGUGUCAGCAGUCGCCGUAAUACGGAGGUGGCAAGCGUUCUCCGGAGUUACUGGGUGUAAAGGGCGUGUAGCCGGGCUGGCAAGUCAGAUGUGAAAUCCGGGGGCUCAACCCCCGAACUGCAUUUGAAACUGUUGGUCUUGAGUAUCGGAGAGGCAGGCGGAAUUCCUAGUGUAGCGGUGAAAUGCGUAGAUAUUAGGAGGAACACCAGUGGCGAAGGCGGCCUGCUGGACGACAACUGACGGUGAGGCGCGAAAGCGUGGGGAGCAAACAGGAUUAGAUACCCUUGUAGUC
rnacentral:rRNA from 1 species